rnacentral:rRNA from 1 species
GACGAACGCUGGCGGCGUGCUUAACACAUGCAAGUCGAACGAUGAACCCGGAGCUUGCUCUGGGGGAUUAGUGGCGAACGGGUGAGUAACACGUGAGUAACCUGCCCUGGACUCUGGGAUAAGCGUUGGAAACGACGUCUAAUACCGGAUAGGACCUUGGAUCGCAUGAUCUGGGGUGGAAAGUUUUUUCGGUCUGGGAUGGACUCGCGGCCUAUCAGCUUGUUGGUGAGGUAAUGGCUCACCAAGGCGUUGACGGGUAGCCAGCCUGUGAGGGUGACCAGCCACGCUGGGACCAAGACACGGCCCAGACUCCUCCGGGAGGCAGCAGUGGGGAAGAUGGCACAAAGGGCGAAAGCCUGAUGCAGCGACGCCGCGUGCGGGCUGACGGCCGUCGUGUUGUAAACCGCUUUUAGUAGGGAAGAAGGGCUUCGGCUUGACGGUACCUGCAGAAAAAGGACCGGCUAACUACGUG